UUGUGGCUGGAAGCUGUGUCCUUGGUGUCU
rnacentral:piRNA from 1 species